rnacentral:rRNA from 1 species
GCAUAUCAAUAAGCGGAGGAAAAGAAAAUAAAAAUGAUUUCCUUAGUAACGGCGAGUGAACAGGAAUUAGCUCAAAGCUGAAGAUUUAAGCAAGAGGCUCAAAUCAAUGUAGCGAAAUAAGAGCUUGACUUAAAGCCAGUUUAGUCAAAUCUCUUAGGAGUAAGGUAUCAACACAGAAGGUGAUGUACCGCGUAGGCUAAAUGCUUGAGUCAGUUCUUAUAUAUGUGAGUAGGUAUAUUUGAAAGUAUAUACUGAAGUUCGUGGUAAACUUCACGGAAAGCUAAAUAUUGUCAACAAUUCCAAUAGUGAACAAGUACCGUGAGGGAAACUUGAAAAGAACUUUGAAGAGAGAGUUAAAUAGUGCGUGCAACUAUUGAAUAGUAAACAUUACCAAGAUUUCUGAAACGAAAUGUGAGGCUUGCGAAGUAUGGACAAAGUUCAUAUUUCCCACGAGUCUUAUAUUGAAACAACUAACAGAUUAAUGGCUUAAGACAUAGCUAAAAUACCUUUUAAGUAUUAAGCUAACGCUAAGACUAUUGAUUUAGUUGUAGUAAGUAAUAUCUUGGCAAUGACCCGUCUUGAAACAC